GUGCCCCCGUUCUUCAUGAAUAGGAGCAAGCUGACAGGACUGCUCUGUUAACCAGAGCUCAUUCCUUGAAACCUCCCUGCCCCCAGCCCUCCCAGCCCCUGGCUCUUCAGGCCCCUAGAAUGCACUAGAGGCAUAGUUGGGGCCUUGCCACCAUCCGAGUCUGGCGGUUGCUUAUACAUUUGCAGCAGCAGCAGUUCCUAAAGGGCUCCAGGGCUCCAGAUGGACAGUCAUCCUGUGAAGAGACAGCUGAGGGAAGAAAGAGCUUUUAGAAAACUAAAUGGAUCAAUGUGGGCAGGUGGCUUAGUCUACAGAGGCCAUGUUCCUGAUACUCCGUUCUCAUGCUGAGUAUGCAUGGCUUCAUUGUGGAGAUUAAACUCAGAAAACUUCCAGGCAAUGCUGAGGAGGAGAGUGAAACCCUAAGUAUCCAUAUAGAAGAAUUCUUUACUGGUCCUGUUGGAAAAAGCCAAGUGAAAUGGCCUGGAGUGUCUGGCUUCUUUACCAUGUGCACUGCAAACCUGCUGACUUCCUGCUUCUCUCAUUAA
ensembl:lncRNA